rnacentral:rRNA from 1 species
UACGUAGGGUGCAAGCGUUGUCCGGAAUUAUUGGGCGUAAAGAGCUCGUAGGCGGGUUGUCGCGUCUGCUGUGAAAACUGGGGGCUCAACCCCCAGCCUGCAGUGGGUACGGGCAGACUAGAGUGCGGUAGGGGAGAUUGGAAUUCCUGGUGUAGCGGUGGAAUGCGCAGAUAUCAGGAGGAACACCGAUGGCGAAGGCAGAUCUCUGGGCCGUAACUGACGCUGAGGAGCGAAAGCAUGGGGAGCGAACAGG